rnacentral:rRNA from 1 species
UGGCGGCGUGCCUAAUACAUGCAAGUCGAGCGGACCGACGGGAGCUUGCUCCCUUAGGUCAGCGGCGGACGGGUGAGUAACACGUGGGUAACCUGCCUGUAAGACUGGGAUAACUCCGGGAAACCGGGGCUAAUACCGGAUGCUUGAUUGAACCGCAUGGUUCAAUCAUAAAAGGUGGCUUUUAGCUACCACUUGCAGAUGGACCCGCGGCGCAUUAGCUAGUUGGUGAGGUAACGGCUCACCAAGGCGACGAUGCGUAGCCGACCUGAGAGGGUGAUCGGCCACACUGGGACUGAGACACGGCCCAGACUCCUACGGGAGGCAGCAGUAGGGAAUCUUCCGCAAUGGACGAAAGUCUGACGGAGCAACGCCGCGUGAGUGAUGAAGGUUUUCGGAUCGUAAAACUCUGUUGUUAGGGAAGAACAAGUACCGUUCGAAUAGGGCGGUACCUUGACGGUACCUAACCAGAAAGCCACGGCUAACUACGUGCCAGCAGCCGCGG